rnacentral:rRNA from 1 species
GACGAACGCUGGCGGCGUGCCUAAUACAUGCAAGUCGAGCGGACUUAAAAAGCUUGCUUUUUAAGUUAGCGGCGGACGGGUGAGUAACACGUGGGCAACCUGCCUGUAAGACUGGGAUAACUUCUGGAAACCGGAGCUAAUACCGGAUAAUCCUUUUCUACUCAUGUAGAAAAGCUGAAAGACGGUUUACGCUGUCACUUACAGAUGGGCCCGCGGCGCAUUAGCUAGUUGGUGAGGUAACGGCUCACCAAGGCGACGAUGCGUAGCCGACCUGAGAGGGUGAUCGGCCACACUGGCACUGAGGCACGGCCCAGACUCCUACGGGAGGCAGCAGUAGGGAAUCUUCCGCAAUGGACGAGAGUCUGACGGAGCAACGCCGCGUGAGUGAUGAAGGUUUUCGGAUCGUAAAACUCUGUUGUUAGGGAAGAACAAGUACGAGAGUAACUGCUCGUACCUUGACGGUACCUAACCAGAAAGCCACGGCUAACUACGUG